AAUAGAUACCCUGGUAGUCCACGCCGUAAACGAUGAGUGCUAAGUGUUAGAGGGUUUCCGCCCUUUAGUGCUGCAGCUAACGCAUUAAGCACUCCGCCUGGGGAGUACGGCCGCAAGGCUGAAACUCAAAGAAAUUGACGGGGGCCCGCACAAGCGGUGGAGCAUGUGGUUUAAUUCGAAGCAACGCGAAGAACCUUACCAGGUCUUGACAUCCUCUGCCAACCCUAGAGAUAGGGCGUUCCCCUUCGGGGGACAGAGUGACAGGUGGUGCAUGGUUGUCGUCAGCUCGUGUCGUGAGAUGUUGGGUUAAGUCCCGCAACGAGCGCAACCCUUGAUCUUAGUUGCCAGCAUUUAGUUGGGCACUCUAAGGUGACUGCCGGUGACAAACCGGAGGAAGGUGGGGAUGACGUCAAAUCAUCAUGCCCCUUAUGACCUGGGCUACACACGUGCUACAAUGGAUGGUACAAAGAGCUGCGAACCCGCGAGGGUAAGCGAAUCUCAUAAAGCCAUCCUCAGUUCGGAUUGUAGG
rnacentral:rRNA from 1 species